GACGAACGCUGGCGGCGUGCUUAACACAUGCAAGUCGAACGAACAGACCCUGCUUUUGUGGGGCGGACGAGUGGCGCACGCGUGAGUGACACGUGAGUAACAUGCCCUUAUAAUUCGGAUAACUUCACGGAAAUGGGGCUCAAAUCGCAUAUAAUCUACUGCUGCGUGGGGGGGGAUGGAAAGAUACGGCGGUUGGGGAUGGAUUCGCGGGUUAUGCGCUUGUUUGUGGGGUAGUGGCUGACAAAGGCUACGACGGCUAGCCGGCCUGGGAGGGUGAACGGGCACAUGGGGCCUGCGAGAGGGCGCAGAAGCGUACGGGCGGCAGCAGUGGGGAAUAUUGCACAAUGGGCGGAAGCCUGAGGCAGCAACGCCGGGUGCGGGAUGACGGCCUUCGGGUUGAAAACCGAUGUCGCCGGUGACGAAGCGUGCGUGACGGUAAUGGGUCAAGAAGCACCGGCUAACUACGUG
rnacentral:rRNA from 1 species